rnacentral:rRNA from 1 species
GUCUACGGCCAAACCACCCUGAACACACCUGAUCUUGUCUGAUCUUGCUCGGAAGCUAAGCAGGGUCAGCCCUGGUUAGUACUUGGAUGGGAGAGUGCCUCAAAAAUUCAUACAAAACAAAAUAAAAAUCUGUAUAAU